UCCGGUUUAUCACCGGCAGUCUCCACAGAGUCCUCGCCAUUACGCGUUAGUAACUGUGAACAAGGGUUGCGCUCGUUGCGGGACUUAACCCAACAUCUCACGACACGAGCUGACGACAGCCAUGCAGCACCUGUGCAGUGGCUCCGAAGAGAAGCUCUAUCUCUAGAGCGGUCCACUGCAUGUCAAAUCUGGGUAAGGUUCUUCGCGUUGCAUCGAAUUAAACCACAUGCUCCACUGCUUGUGCGGGUCCCCGUCAAUUCUUUUGAGUUUCAGCCUUGCGACUGUACUCCCCAGGCGGUAUACUUAACGCGUUAGCUACAGCACAACCAGGGUUGAGUCCGGUUACACUAAGUAUACAUCGUUUACAGCAAGGACUAC
rnacentral:misc_RNA from 1 species